UCAAUUAUUCAUAAAAGAUUUGUUUAUACUCUCACACAUAAUAAAAUCCAAUUAGAUAAAACAUGAUGUAACCAAUGGAAACAGAAGAACAGAAGCAUGGCAGCACUUCAAAGCAAGAUGAUAUUACAUUAGCAGUGGCUAUGGUCUCUUCUGGUUCCAGAAUAAUUUUAUGAGUGAUUUCUCUAGAUCUAUGAGGGGCCUGAAGAAAAUUCCAAUCAACUCCGCACAUGUGGGGCUGCAGGGAGUGGGAGAAAUGUCUGUUCCAAUCUCCACAUCCAGGCUGGAACACAAGAAAAAGGCAUAAGACAUCAAAUAUGAAAGAAAAUAUUUGUCAUCAUGAACAAUCACAAUUUUAUAUUUGAAGGCAUGAAUAUACCAUCAGAUCAGCAAAAUGAAUUGUCUUAGUAAUACGAACUUUACUUGAGCUUUCUCCCAUAGGGCUAUAGGGUAUAUUUGGACCUCCUAUCAGUGAACCUGACCUGGUUACAGUUACCUGAUUGUUUAUGUGUAAAUACCAUAUAGUGUUCCUAGUGUGAGAAAUGCUAAGAGUACAUAAGAGUUCGUGGUAAUCCUGCUUCCCCAUUACAUUGCUUUGGAACCUUAUAAUAUUCCCAUUCAUUACUCAGAAUGGUUUCAUCCUGGGUUGUUUGAUUUUAUUCAGAACUAAAUAACACAAAAUGAACAAUGGUUACUGUAUUAUCUAUGAUUAUUUGAACAGCUAUUUUGAAGAAAACAAGACAUUAUAAUAGCUAGUGCUGAUUUAAUAUCAUCUUGUUUUGAAGUGCUAACAUGCUUUUAGUCUUUUCUUUCCUUGGUUCUAUCUUGUUGUAUCUAAUUGGAUUGUAUUUUGUGUGGUAGUAUAAACAAAUAUUUUAUGGACAAUGAGAUAAUAUAGUAACCAUUGUUCAUUUUGUGUUAUUUGGUUCUGAAUUAUCUGUAAUAAUUUCAUGCUCUUUAAUGAUUUUAUAAUAUUUUGUUAUGUUUGAUACUAUUGUGUAUGAAAAUAUACUCAACUACUUCAAGGAAAGAGACACUAAGGUAGCCACUGGUAUGUCAGGUUGUAUUGUGUGAAAUACUGUGUUGCUUAAACUGUUGUGCUCCAAUCACAUUUGUUAAGUGCUCUUUUAUUUUAAUCUCUUUAAAAUUAAAAUAAAUUUUUAAAAAAGUUACCAGGUGCCACAUUCUUGUCUAUCACUUGAAGUGCUGUCUAAUUUUGCC